rnacentral:lncRNA from 1 species
GCGUCUUAGAGACAUUAGACCCUGAAACGCAAAUACUCGGUCAGUCAUCUUAACCAAUUACCUCGUCGCAUUUACGACACAAGACAACUCAACCACAAACUCGGGCGGAAGCACACAAGUGCACUCGUUCUAGGCUCUUGGUAUCAUGUCGUCGACCGCUGACACAACCACCUCAAGACAAGAACUCAUACAACUUGAAUCCGUCUCUAAUCACAACUAGAGACAUAUACCAACUUCGACCCAAUCGAAUUAACUUUCGUCGUCGCUAUAGGUUCACGUUUCGCUCACGCACCUAUAACCUUAAGGCUUACCAUCCUAGGGUCUCCUAGGUCAUCCUAGACUCUCUCUUUACUUGCUCUUAUCGCUCUGAUACCAAAACAGCUGUCACGCCAUGCCCCGAAACCACUACCAAUUUGGCACGGUUCGGCCGCGGCGGCGGGCCGCCGAACGGACAGCUCAUCCCCU